CUCCAUUACAUCAUAGUAUGCUGACUAGGAGGGGUAAUAAAGGGAGAGUUGGGCAAACAUAUUGAAACAGUCAGUCCAGGGUCUCUGGUAAUCUGUCAAGGUCCUGUGGUCAUCUCUCUCCUUGAUAGUCUCACUAGACAGCAGAAAGCUGGGAAUACUUGUCUGAGAAGCCAGAGAAACCAGGACUUGCCUAAGAACAUCCUGAGAAGCAGUAAUCAGGAAAGUGGUCACGAAACACAAGCCACAGACUGCUGAAUCCAGUGCAAAGAAGGGAAAAGAUCCCUGCUGCUCCCACCAGAACCAUAGCUUUCCAUUCUGAGGGCCGCUAUUGGAUGUCUGAGAGGGGAGAGAGGUCCAGAAAUCUACCCAAAGGCAACUCUGAGGAUCAAUUGGCAGAGAAGUGGUGAGGAAAUAGAAGCCACAGACUGCUGAAUCCCGACUCAAAAGAAAGAUAAGACCCCUGCUAGUCCCUCCAGAACAACAGCUUUCCAUUCCAAGGAAUCUUGGAGAGAAGACUAAACAGGUGUAAUAAAAGGGCUUUCAGAAACAGCUGCUUGAAAUACAAGAAGAGAUGAGAAAGCCAAAGGAGAAAGCAGUUGAGCACGUUGAUUCCUUUGGAAAAUCCCAAAGAAGAGGGCUGCUAAUGGAUGUCUAAGAGGGGAGAGAAUUCUGGGAAUUUACCCAAAGUUCACCCUGAAAUUCACUUGUCAGAAAAGUCAUCGGGAAACACAAUCAACAGACUGCUGAAUCCAGUCCCAAGGGAAAGAAAUGAUUCCUACUGGUCACCCAGGACUGUGGCUUUCCAUUCUGAGCAGCCUGAAGACAAAGAUGAGGCCUGAAGCAAGAGUCCAGUGCAGUUAUUUGUAAACAUGGGGCCAGGGAUAUGAGAGAGCAUCCUCCCAGGAAGGCUAAAGGCCCUUCUUAAUAGGCCCACCCUUAUUCCUACAAAUACUCUAGUUAACAGGAAUCUAAAAGAAAGCACAAAGCAGAAGGUGUCUCCACUCCAACCUGACAUCUUCCAACCUGCUACCAUGGAUCCAACAAAUGUUGCAGUGCAGCAUGGGAUACUCCCACAUGAACCCCACCCAGCCCCUCAGCCAGCCACACACCCAGAGAAGACACUGCCAUGCUCACAUGCAAAUUCUUGUUCCCCCAAAUCACUUCAUAAAAUGUUGUCAUCCCCAUCCAUUGGCAGUUACGGUGGCAGAAGCCCGAAGGCGGCCCACAGAGGCACUUUCAGAUACACAUGCCUGACUGAGGCAGAAGAGUCAUGGCAACCCAAGGCAACACAGGCUGGCAAUAUUCAUUCCUAUGGAAUGCGAUGGUGGAAGAGUCAGACAUCUCUCCUCCUCGACUAGUCUGUGAUGUUCUACCAACCAGAGGGAGAGCGCUUCUCCCCCAACAUGCAAAGAUCAUGGAUAUCUCUCACUCAACUUGUCUCUCUCUGCUUCCACAAAGACUGAAGAAGAGCAAGAAUUAAGAAGCAGGAGCCCAAUUCAAUGUAGCAUUGGGGCUCAGCGUAUAGGGAACAGCUUUCCCUGGAGGGCAAUAAACACUUCAUCACCACCCAAA